AACGCACAUUGCGCCCUCUGGUAUUCCGGAGGGCAUGCCUGUUUGAGUGUCAUUAUCCUCUCUAUCUCUGAUAGACGUUGAGGUCUGCAUUGCGAUGCUUCCUCGAAAAUCAAGGGUGCAGCCUUUGGCUGUCAACAACGCAUUAGGUUUCACCACUCGUUGUCUGGCACCAUUUUGUGCGGCACCGAAAGCCGUCUUGCACUCUGGUGCUUGACAUUUCAACUAUUGACCUCAGAUCAGGUAGGAAUACGCGCUGAACUUAA
rnacentral:misc_RNA from 1 species